rnacentral:rRNA from 1 species
AACGAACGCUGGCGGCAGGCUUAACACAUGCAAGUCGAACGCCCCGCAAGGGGAGUGGCAGACGGGUGAGUAACGCGUGGGAAUCUACCCAGUUCUACGGAACAACACAGGGAAACUUGUGCUAAUACCGUAUACGCCCCAAGGGGGAAAGAUUUAUCGGAAUUGGAUGAGCCCGCGUUGGAUUAGCUAGUUGGUGAGGUAAUGGCUCACCAAGGCGACGAUCCAUAGCUGGUCUGAGAGGAUGAUCAGCCACACUGGGACUGAGACACGGCCCAGACUCCUACGGGAGGCAGCAGUGGGGAAUAUUGGACAAUGGGCGCAAGCCUGAUCCAGCCAUGCCGCGUGAGUGAUGAAGGCCUUAGGGUUGUAAAGCUCUUUCAGUGGGGAAGAUAGUGACGGUACCCACAGAAGAAGCCCCGGCUAACUUCGUG